ensembl:lncRNA
GCUUUCAUUUCAUACCCGAGCUCAAAGAUGAACACGAAGCAGGAAAAUCCCAGCUUCUCCUCACCUGCCAGACUAUGAAAACAAUCCCAUGGGCUGAAGCAUCUGCAGAAUAAACUAGAGUGGGAAAGUUAAUAGCUUACAGCUGAAGUCCUUCUCUUGCAAGAUUCCCAGCUGCUGGAAGUGAGUUUACUAGGGAACGAAGCAGUCAGGGAUCGAAAACUUAUUUUGGAUGCUUGUCAGCUUUCAGAAUAAUACCAAAACACUGGAGGUCUGCAGCAUCUUUCACCUCAGGAUCUCACCCACCUGGGACGCUUGAUGGGCUCCCUCCAGAAAACAGCUGUCUGCCUCCUGUUCCUGUCCGUUUUCUUUAGUGCCUCCAACAGCACAUUUGCAACCUUCAACUGCAAUGCUGUCAAGAUAGAAUAUAAAAAAACGGCAGUAAUUUCAUGCAUUGGCAACAUGAAGAUUACAAACAUGGUAGUUAAGCGCUGUGAAAGGUGUAAUAAACAGAACUCGUGCUUAGAAACUAUUAUUAACACCUGGAGAGGAAACUAUUCCAGUGAAAAGGGAAGAAUUCGGUUGGUGCUACAACACAACGUUUCUGAAGUGCACAUACAGAAAGUUAAACCAACUGAUCAAGGAGGUUAUAAAUGGCAUCUUUAUUCUGACAAUGGUGAACGCGAUGGAUGUACCAACCUUGAGAUUACAGAUCCAGAAAUUGAGCCUAGCCUCAUCUGGAACGGAAGAAAGCUCGCCUGCCUGUCACCUAUAGGGCAUCGACAAAGGCAAGUCCAUUGGUUCGAUGGCCACGGGAAUAACCUGACAGGCAAUGCAAGCCUGGUAUCUGAGGAAGCAGAAGGUGGCAUAACCAGCCUUACCAGCACUCUCCAUGAGAAACCCAACUUAACUGCCUCCGAGUAUUGCUGCACUGUGCUGUAUGAUGUGCACACCAAGAGAAACAAAACCAAAUGCCUUAGUGCCCACAAAGCAGUCGCCGAUUACCUUCAUUUCACUUCAACCUCAGAUCAGGAAAUUCCGAAGACCAUGAAAGAGCGCAUUCCCAUCAUUCUAGUGCUCAUCAUUCUGGUUCUCUGCUGUUUUGCAGCUGUUCUAUACUACAGGCAUCGCCAGCGAGCAACAGCAAAAGGGAAUUUUGCAGACCUAUUAAGGACCCUCCUUCCACUUUUGAGACAAAAUGAAAAAGCAAAAGAAAAUGCACCUAACCAAGAAGUGUGAUGUGUGAAAACAAGAUGCCCCCUCAAUGAAAACGAUGAUCCAGCCUGCACCAAUGCAACUAAAUUUAAGCAAAGCAGUAGAUACAGAAACUCAGUCAUUCAGAACAUACAUGCUAAGCAAUCCAACAGUGUGAAGCAACUAGCAUUUUAAAGACUUUUUUUGUCAGACAUCCUGUUUUGCAGACAAGGGGCUACAUUGUCCUCUCAGUUUCACUGGUGUAACUCAGUGGAAAAUGUGGUCUGAUAAUCUGAGCAGCAUUCUUUCCCUCCCUGAAACACUGAUGCUUUAAGGCCAUAUUUUUACCACUUUUGAUGGAAUCAAAGCUUUGUUUCCUACCUUAAUAGUCAGCCCUUUAGGAUGCGCUAAUAGGGCGGCUACACGUAUGGAGCAUUUUAUCCCCUGCAUUAUGUAGCAUUAUUAACCUGCUGCCAUCAGGACAGAAGCGCAGUGCACGAUCACAAAGACUUUGUGGUGUGAGUGCCAAUCUAAUUCACCAACCAAAUGCUGUGUUGUGAGGGGACUGUGGAACUGGGAAACAGCCCUUGACUCAGCACCAACUUCAAUUACUUGCAAGAGAUGUCUGCUGAAUGGACACACUGAAGAGAAAAUGAAUGAGGCCCCAACUUCACAAUUAGAUUGCAGAAGUUAAUUGCACUGAUUUUCUUCUGAAAUAUGAUAAAAAAUAUAGAAAGAACGUGGGGAAUCUUGUUUUGUGGGCUGACAGUUACCUGGAUUAUUUCACCCUAAAGAAUGAAAGUGUGCUGUUUGUCAAGGCUUUUAAUCAUGUAAUUAAAAUAUAGAUUUAGGACACUAACUUCAGGCAUCCAUUGAAAAAACAUCUUGGCCAUGGAUUUUAUCCAAACAUCUUGCUAUGUUGAAAGACACAGAGAUACCUGUCUUCCUCUCUCUUGCUGAAAAGCUAUGGGAGAUUCUCAUAGGGCCAGAUUUUAGUAAUUUUUUCCAAACGCUCUCUGGGGAAAGGCCAGGCCUUUUGAAACCCUUGAUUAAAUAAACUUAAUUGAAAGUUGCA